rnacentral:rRNA from 1 species
UACAGAGGUCUCAAGCGUUGUUCGGAUUCAUUGGGCGUAAAGGGUGCGUAGGCGGCGCGGUAAGUCGGGUGUGAAAUCUUGGAGCUUAACUCCGAAACUGCAUUCGAUACUGCCUUGCUCGAGUACUGGAGAGGAGACUGGAAUUUACGGUGUAGCAGUGAAAUGCGUAGAUAUCGUAAGGAAGACCAGUGGCGAAGGCGAGUCUCUGGACAGUUACUGACACUGAGGCACGAAGGCCAGGGGAGCAAACGGG